rnacentral:rRNA from 1 species
GUGAGUCAUCGAAUCUUUGAACGCAACUUGCGCCUCUUGGUAUUCCGAGAGGCAUGCCUGUUUGAGUGUCAUGAAUACCUCAACCCCCCACCGGUUUUUCGGAACCGAGGGAAGGUUGGAGAUGGGCGUCCUGCCGGUGUCGAGCCGGCUCGCCUUAAAGGUCUCAGUGGUGUCCUCGUACCCCAUGCCUGACCGUAAUAAGUUUCGUCUGGGCCGGGUCCUGUGAUGUCCGCUCAUAACCCACCAUAUUCUGUGACUCUGACCUCAAUCAGGUAGGGCUACCUGCUGAACUUAAGCAUAUCAAUAAGCGGAGG